GGGACAGUCGACGAUACCAUCAGACGUAAAAAUGUUGAGGAUCGUAAGCCUGGCAGUGACUUUGGCCGUGUGCGUGGCACGACCCAACCAAUGGGACGACCAGCUUGGGCUCUUCCCUGCCGACGGCGGAGACUCUCAGCCCAUCUUGCCUCGCGCCGUCGCCAACCCUACCACGCCCAACCAGAUACUCGACGCAGUGCUCGAGGGAGCUAUCGCAUACAUGGAAGCACUAGGAUGGUGG